GCAAACAUUUUUUCCCACAUUGUGGGUUGUCUCUUCAAUCUGUUGAUGGUUUCUCUUGCUCUACAAAAGCUUUUUAAUGAGAUCCCAGUUGUUGAUUCUUUGUGAUAGUUCUGGUGCAAUUGGGGGAUCUAUGCCACUGACCUCUAAAUUAUUUUCUUUACAGGAUACUGCUUUACAAAACCAGAAUUCAUUUUAACAUUGGAACAAGGAGAUGAUCCAUGGUCAUUUGGUAAAGGGAGAGAAUGUCUAAGCAGGAAUUCCCCAGAAGACUGCCAACCUGAUAAACUCUUAGAGAAAAGCCCAGAACACCGGGACAAACAUUUGUGGCCACCUUCAUUCACCAGCAAAUCAUUGACUACAGACCAAGAAACUUCCAGAAAAUCACAUUAUUCCAACAUAGAUAUUUUCCCUGCAAGACUGACACUUUGUCAGUGUGACCCUGCAGGGCCCAAGAGCUGGGGUCUCAACUCAUUUGCCUCACACUUUCAGGAUUCAAGAGAAAAGGCUGGUGAUCUUAACUGCUCUGAGAAUGGGCUACUCAACAUUAAGGGUUGCAGAAAAAAUACUGGAGAGAAAGACCUCAGUCAUAAAGUAGAACCUAUUCACCAUCAGACAGUUCGGAAUUUGAGACAAGCUUUUAAAUAUAAUGGAAGUAGAAAAGCUUUCCUUGAAAAGGCUACUCUUAUUUCAUCUCAGAGUGCCUACCAAAAAGAGAAAUCUUACACAUGUAAUACAUCUGGAGAAAAGUUGUAUGACAGAUCAACCGUUGUCUCUCAGAGCAUUCAUUCAGAUGAGAGUCAUUGUGAGUUUAAUGGAAAUGGGAAUGGUUUCAGUAGGGCUGCUAAGAAAACUGAUCCAGCAGGAAAAUCUUUCACCCAAAAGUCAGACAUGAGAGAACAGCCAAAAAUUCACAUCAAGAUAAAGCACUCUGAGCACCAAAACAUCUUCAGCCAAAAUUCAGCCUUCCUAAUGCGUCAGAGAACUCACUCAACGGAUAACACAGUUCUCAUCUGA
rnacentral:lncRNA from 1 species